CAGUCGAGCGGAACGAGAUAUCAGAACCUUCGGGGGACGAUAACGGCGUCCAGCGGCGGACGGGUGAGUAAUGCCUAGGAAAUUGCCCUGAUGUGGGGGAUAACCAUUGGAAACGAUGGCUAAUACCGCAUGAUGCCUACGGGCCAAAGAGGGGGACCUUCGGGCCUCUCGCGUCAGGAUAUGCCUAGGUGGGAUUAGCUAGUUGGUGAGGUAAGGGCUCACCAAGGCGACGAUCCCUAGCUGGUCUGAGAGGAUGAUCAGCCACACUGGAACUGAGACACGGUCCAGACUCCUACGGGAGGCAGCAGUGGGGAAUAUUGCACAAUGGGCGCAAGCCUGAUGCAGCCAUGCCGCGUGUGUGAAGAAGGCCUUCGGGUUGUAAAGCACUUUCAGUCGUGAGGAAGGCAGCGUCGUUAAUAGCUGCGUGUUUGACGUUAGCGACAGAAGAAGCACCGGCUAACUCCGUGCCAGCAGCCGCGGUAAUACGGAGGGUGCGAGCGUUAAUCGGAAUUACUGGGCGUAAAGCGCAUGCAGGUGGUUUGUUAAGUCAGAUGUGAAAGCCCGGGGCUCAACCUCGGAAUUGCAUUUGAAACUGGCAGACUAGAGUACUGUAGAGGGGGGUAGAAUUUCAGGUGUAGCGGUGAAAUGCGUAGAGAUCUGAAGGAAUACCGGUGGCGAAGGCGGCCCCCUGGACAGAUACUGACACUCAGAUGCGAAAGCGUGGGGAGCAAACAGGAUUAGAUACCCUGGUAGUCCACGCCGUAAACGAUGUCUACUUGGAGGUUGUGGCCUUGAGCCGUGGCUUUCGGAGCUAACGCGUUAAGUAGACCGCCCUGGGGAGUACGGUCGCAAGAUUAAAACUCAAAUGAAUUGACGGGGGCCCGCACAAGCGGUGGAGCAUGUGGUUUAAUUCGAUGCAACGCGAAGAACCUUACCUACUCUUGACAUCCAGAGAACUUUCCAGAGAUGGAUUGGUGCCUUCGGGAACUCUGAGACAGGUGCUGCAUGGCUGUCGUCAGCUCGUGUUGUGAAAUGUUGGGUUAAGUCCCGCAACGAGCGCAACCCUUAUCCUUGUUUGCCAGCGAGUAAUGUCGGGAACUCCAGGGAGACUGCCGGUGAUAAACCGGAGGAAGGUGGGGACGACGUCAAGUCAUCAUGGCCCUUACGAGUAGGGCUACACACGUGCUACAAUGGCGCAUACAGAGGGCAGCCAACUUGCGAAAGUGAGCGAAUCCCAAAAAGUGCGUCGUAGUCCGGAUUGGAGUCUGCAACUCGACUCCAUGAAGUCGGAAUCGCUAGUAAUCGUGGAUCAGAAUGCCACGGUGAAUACGUUCCCGGGCCUUGUACACACCGCCCGUCACUGCCAUGCGAGUGGGCUGCAAAAGCAAGUAGGUAGUCUUAACUUCGGGGAGACGC
rnacentral:rRNA from 1 species